AGUGGCGAACGGGUGAGUAACACGUGAGUAACCUGCCCUUGACUCUGGGAUAAGCCUGGGAAACUGGGUCUAAUACCGGAUACGACCAUCUGGCGCAUGUCAUGGUGGUGGAAAGCUUUUGUGGUUUUGGAUGGACUCGCGGCCUAUCAGCUUGUUGGUGGGGUAAUGGCCUACCAAGGCGACGACGGGUAGCCGGCCUGAGAGGGUGACCGGCCACACUGGGACUGAGACACGGCCCAGACUCCUACGGGAGGCAGCAGUGGGGAAUAUUGCACAAUGGGCGCAAGCCUGAUGCAGCGACGCCGCGUGAGGGAUGACGGCCUUCGGGUUGUAAACCUCUUUCAGUAGGGAAGAAGCCGUAAGGUGACGGUACCUGCAGAAGAAGCGCCGGCUAACUACGUGCCAGCAGCCGCGGUAAUACGUAGGGCGCAAGCGUUAUCCGGAAUUAUUGGGCGUAAAGAGCUCGUAGGCGGUUUGUCGCGUCUGCUGUGAAAGACCGGGGCUCAACUCCGGUUCUGCAGUGGGUACGGGCAGACUAGAGUGCAGUAGGGGAGACUGGAAUUCCUGGUGUAGCGGUGAAAUGCGCAGAUAUCAGGAGGAACACCGAUGGCGAAGGCAGGUCUCUGGGCUGUAACUGACGCUGAGGAGCG
rnacentral:rRNA from 1 species